rnacentral:rRNA from 1 species
CUAGCGGCAGGCUUAAUACAUGCAAGUCGAGGGGCAGCACGGUUAGCAAUAACUGGUGGCGACCGGCGCACGGGUGCGUAACACGUAUACAAUCUACCUUAAACAGGGGGAUAGCCUUUCGAAAGAGAGAUUAAUACCCGUAAUAAAUUGAACGGCAUCGUUUGAUUUUGAAAGCUCCGGCGGUUUGAGAUGAGUAUGCGUCUGAUUAGCUAGUUGGUGAGGUAACGGCUCACCAAGGCGACGAUCAGUAGGGGACCUGAGAGGACUAACCCCCACACUGGUACUGAGACACGGACCAGACUCCUACGGGAGGCAGCAGUAAGGAAUAUUGGUCAAUGGAGGCAACUCUGAACCAGCCAUGCCGCGUGCAGGAUGACGGCCCUAUGGGUUGUAAACUGCUUUUAUACAAGAGAAAACCCUGGUACGUGUACCAAGUUGAUAGUAUUGUAAGAAUAAGCAUCGGCUAACUUCGUG